AUGUGGAAUAGGUGACAUUUUCAAUAAAUUAACAUUGCUUUUCUUUUCCUUAGCAUGUACUAUAUUGUAGAAUUUUUAGAAGAAUCAUUGGUUGGAAUUGUAGCAGAGUGCUGGACAUUUGAAGAUAAUGGGCAACACUAUAGUUACUGGCCCCUGAACAAUCAGACAAAACGGGCAAAAAAAGAAGAACUCCCUGACGAAGAGACAUGGAUCACACGAAAAAUCCGUGUUUUUGCCAAAACUGAUGAUUUCGAGAGGGCAUUAAGGUGGAGUAAAAAUGCUGAAUUGAAUUCCUCUGUAGAAAGCGACGCUGACAAUAACUUCAGG